rnacentral:rRNA from 1 species
UACGUAGGGUGCGAGCGUUGUCCGGAAUUAUUGGGCGUAAAGAGCUCGUAGGCGGUCUGUCGCGUCGGUCGUGAAAACCUGCAGCUUAACUGUGGGCUUGCGGUCGAUACGGGCAUGACUGGAGUUCGGCAGGGGAGACUGGAAUUCCUGGUGUAGCGGUGAAAUGCGCAGAUAUCAGGAGGAACACCGGUGGCGAAGGCGGGUCUCUGGGCCGAUACUGACGCUGAGGAGCGAAAGUGUGGGGAGCGAACAGG